CAAUUUCUUUUUCUAUUUUGCAGCAUUCUAUCGCUACGGUUGGAUAAUAAUUCCAGCACUACGGCUUGAACAUCCAUCGCUACGGUCGAAUCAUAAAACCAAUGCUUUGAAUGGCAAACAAUUCCAACGUUACGGAUGGAUCAUCUGUCGCUACGUCCGGAUUACAAAAUCUAACGCUACGGCUGGGGCAUAAAUCCAAUGCUACGAUUGGAUCAUUCGUCUCUACGGUUGAUUUUCAAAACCCAACGCUAUGGAUGGAUCAUCCGUCGCUAUAGACGGAUCGUAAAUAUCACUCUCCCACACAUAGGGAGGAGGCACUAAUGAUACGCGUCUUAUCACAACAUUUCUUUUUGGGGAUGAAUACUAAUGAUAUAGGAUUAUACAUUUACCUCCGGAAGCUCCCACAAAGCACAAGAACCAAAGGUCUCCACCAGAUAUGAAGCGACGUACAAAAGUUAUCGAUCUUCCUUGUAACAUCGCUGAUUUCAUAGGAACUUCGUCGAUACUAAGAAUGCCGCAUACAUGUGCCAUCGUUUGAGUACUCAGAUAUUCCCUAUAUCAAGUUGGCAACCACACGAGGGUAAUUGUUGGGUUCCAGGGCAUAAUGUUCAGUCACCCUGACCAUCAUAAUGACCAUGGAGCGAUCUCCACCACGGAUUGCAUACUUGAGAACCCUAUAUAAGAGACCCCAUUGACAUAUCCAAGGCAUCAGUUUUUCUCCACUCCAUAGUACACAAGCAGAGCAAUCGCUGAUCCUAUAUAAUAGUCGUUGAUUUCUCACUUAAAACCUUGACGUAGAGCGUGCUUCGUGGAUCUUCGAGCCUCCGGUACAGCAAGACGAUUGUUGGCACCACUGCAAGUACUAGUUGGAUUUUUCUAUUCUCAUCAGUACUAGAUCUGGACCUAGAACUGGAUGGAGAAUUGCCUAAUUUUAAUGUGGGCUUUAACUCAGUUGGGGGCCCAAACUCGGGAGGCAAUGGAAUUAGAUCUAUUCAGCGCAGAAUUAAAAAAGUUAGUAUACUAGAUCAGUUAAAUGAGUUGGACCUUAAUAAGUCGGCUACUCUUGGUCCACAAGGCU
rnacentral:lncRNA from 1 species